GCCAUGGUGCCGGGCGUUGGGACUGAGCUCUUAACUCAGGGAGUCUUUGUUAAUUCAUUAGCAUCAGAAUUGAACUGAACAGUAGGAUGCCCGGCUGGUGUCAGAGAAUUGAUUGGUAUAGCAAAAAGCCCCACAAAUUUGGUGUCAGAAGUGAAGGAUUGAGUGGUGUGAGUACAGAGAGAAAAACGAUUGGUCUUUCCUGUAUUCACUGAUCCAUGUAACAAUACAGAAAAGUAUUUUGAUUGAUUCUACCAUUUAGAAAUAAGUAUGGUGGGGGUGGGUGCAGUGGCUCCCGGCUGUAAUCCCAGCACUUUGGGAGGCCGAGGCAGGCGGAUCACAAGGUCAGGAGUUCAAGACCAGCCUGGCCAAUAUGGUGAAACCCCGGCUCUACUAAAAAUACAAAAAUUAGCCAGGCAUGGUGGUGGGUACCUGUAGUCCCAGCUACUCGGGAGGCUGAGGCAGGAGAAUCGCUUGAACUUAGGAGGUGGAGCUUGCAGUGAGCUGCGAUCACGCCACUGCACUCCAGCCUGGGCAACAGAGCAAGACUCCAUCUCAAAAAAAAAAAAAAAAAGAAAAAAAAGGAAAGAGAAAUAAUAAGUAUGGUGGCCAGGUGUGGUGGCUCAUGCCUGUAAUCCUAGCUACUAUGGGAGGUUGAGGCAGGAGGAUCUCUCAAGUUCAGGAGUUCAAGACCAGCCUGGGCAACAUAGUGAGACCCUGUGUCUACAAAAAACAUCAAAAAAAUUUAGCUGAGCUUGGUGGUGUACGCCUGCAGUCCCAGCUACGCAGGAGGCUGAGGUGGGAGGACUGCUUGGGCCCAGGAGAUUUGAGGCUGCAGUGAGCCGUGAUUGUGCUACUGCACUCCGGCUUCAGCAACAGAGCAAGACCCUGUUGCCAAAAAAAAAAAAAAAAAAAAAAAAGAAAAGUGUCCAGUUUUCAACUGGGUAGGUAGAUUAUAUAUCUAUGAAUUUUAAUUCAGCAUAGAAUAGAGGAUAGAGUUACAAAAGGUGGGUCUAACAGGGUUUAGAACUGCAGGACUGGCCGGGCGUGGUGGCUCAUGCCUGUAAUCCUAGCACUUUGGGAAGCUGAGGCAGGAGGAUCACCUGAGGUCAGGAGUUCAAGACCAGCCUGGCCAACAUGGUGAAAUCCCAUCUCUACUAAAAAUGCAAAAAUUAAUUAGCCAGGCAUGGUGGUGCAUGCCUGUAAUCCCAGCUAUUCGGGAGGCUGAGGCAGGAGAAUCAAUUGAACCCGGGAGGCAGAAGUGACAGUGAGCCAAGAUUACACCACUGCACUCCAGUCUGGGUGACAGUAAGACUCUGUCUCAAAAUAAAUAAAUAAAUAAAAAUAAAAAAUAACUAAAAGAGUAUAAUUGGAUUGGUUUUAGCACAAAGGAUAAAUGCUCGUGGGGAUGGAGACCCCAUUCUCCAUGAUGUGAUUAUUACGCAUGCAUGCUUGUAUGAAAACAUCCCAUGUACCCCAUAUAUACACCUAAUAUGUAGCCACAAUAAUUAGAAAAUUUUAAAAAACUCAU
rnacentral:lncRNA from 1 species